GCGAACGGGUGAGUAACACGUGGGUGAUCUGCCCUGCACUUUGGGAUAAGCCUGGGAAACUGGGUCUAAUACCGAAUAGGACCGCAUGCUUCAUGGUGUGUGGUGGAAAGCUUUUGCGGUGUGGGAUGGGCCCGCGGCCUAUCAGCUUGUUGGUGGGGUAAUGGCCUACCAAGGCGACGACGGGUAGCCGGCCUGAGAGGGUGUCCGGCCACACUGGGACUGAGAUACGGCCCAGACUCCUACGGGAGGCAGCAGUGGGGAAUAUUGCACAAUGGGCGCAAGCCUGAUGCAGCGACGCCGCGUGAGGGAUGACGGCCUUCGGGUUGUAAACCUCUUUCAGCAGGGACGAAGCGCAAGUGACGGUACCUGUAGAAGAAGCACCGGCCAACUACGUGCCAGCAGCCGCGGUAAUACGUAGGGUGCGAGCGUUGUCCGGAAUUACUGGGCGUAAAGAGCUCGUAGGUGGUUUGUCGCGUUGUUCGUGAAAACUCACAGCUCAACUGUGGGCGUGCGGGCGAUACGGGCAGACUUGAGUACUGCAGGGGAGACUGGAAUUCCUGGUGUAGCGGUGGAAUGCGCAGAUAUCAGGAGGAACACCGGUGGCGAAGGCGGGUCUCUGGGCAGUAACUGACGCUGAGGAG
rnacentral:rRNA from 1 species